AUUGAACGCUGGCGGCAGGCCUAACACAUGCAAGUCGAGCGAGCGGCGGACGGGUGAGGAACGUCUGGGAAACUGCCUGAUGGAGGGGGAUAACUACUGGAACCGGUAGCUAAUACCGCAUACCAUCAGAUGUGCCCAGAUGGGAGUAGCUAGUAGGUGGGGGAACGGCUCACCUAGGCGACGAUCCCUAGCUGGUCUGAGAGGAUGACCAGCCACACUGGAACUGAGACACGGUCCAGACGCCUACGGGAGGCAGCAGUGGGGAAUUGUGCACAAUGGGCGCAAGCCUGAUGCAGCCAUGCCGCGGGUGUGAAGAAGGCCUUCGGGUUGUGAAGCACUUUCAGCGGGGAGGCGGUACCCGCAGAAGAAGCACCGGCUAACUCCGUGCCAGCAGCCGCGGUAAUUC
rnacentral:rRNA from 1 species